rnacentral:rRNA from 1 species
AUGGGUCAGCGACUUAUAUUCUGUAGCAAGGUUAACCGUAUAGGGGAGCCGAAGGGAAACCGAGUCUUAACUGGGCGUUAAGUUGCAGGGUAUAGACCCGAAACCCGGUGAUCUAGCCAUGGGCAGGUUGAAGGUUGGGUAACACUAACUGGAGGACCGAACCGACUAAUGUUGAAAAAUUAGCGGAUGACUUGUGGCUGGGGGUGAAAGGCCAAUCAAACCGGGAGAUAGCUGGUUCUCCCCGAAAGCUAUUUAGGUAGCGCCUCGUGAACUCAUCUUCGGGGGUAGAGCACUGUUUCGGCUAGGGGGUCAUCCCGACUUACCAACCCGAUGCAAACUGCGAAUACCGAAGAAUGUUAUCACGGGAGACACACGGCGGGUGCUAACGUCCGUCGUGAAGAGGGAAACAACCCAGACCGCCAGCUAAGGUCCCAAAGUCACAGUUAAGUGGGAAACGAUGUGGGAAGGCUCAGACAGCCAGGAUGUUGGCUUAGAAGCAGCCAUCAUUUAAAGAAAGCGUAAUAGCUCACUGGUCGAGUCGGCCUGCGCGGAAGAUGUAACGGGGCUAAACUGUGCACCGAAGCUGCGGCAGCGACGCUUAUGCGUUGUUGGGUAGGGGAGCGUUCUGUAAGCCUGCGAAGGUGUCCUGUGAGGGAUGCUGGAGGUAUCAGAAGUGCGAAUGCUGACAUAAGUAACGAUAAUGCGGGUGAAAAGCCCGCUCGCCGGAAGACCAAGGGUUCCUGUCCAACGUUAAUCGGGGCAGGGUGAGUCGACCCCUAAGGCGAGGCCGAAAGGCGUAGUCGAUGGGAAACGGGUUAAUAUUCCCGUACUUGGUGUUACUGCGAAGGGGGGACGGAGAAGGCUAUGUUGGCCGGGCGACGGUUGUCCCGGUUUAAGCGUGUAGGCUGGUUUUCCAGGCAAAUCCGGAAAAUC